rnacentral:rRNA from 1 species
GUGAGGAAUAUUGCACAAUGGGGGAAACCCUGAUGCAGCAACGCCGCGUGGAGGAUGACAGCCCUUGGGUUGUAAACUCCUUUUCUGUGGGACGAGAGAGGACGGUACCACAGGAAUAAGUCACGGCUAACUACGUGCCAGCAGCCGCGGUAAUACGUAGGUGGCGAGCGUUAUCCGGAAUUACUGGGCGUAAAGCGUACGCAGGCGGCUUGUUUAGUCUGACGUGAAAUCUCCCGGCUUAACUGGGAGAGGUCGUUGGAAACUGACAAGCUUGAGGCAAUGAGAGGGGCAUGGAAUUCCCGGUGUAGUGGUGGAAUGCGUAGAUAUCGGGAGGAACACCAGAGGCGAAAGCGAUGCCCUGGCAUUGACCUGACGCUCAUGUACGAAAGCGUGGGGAGCAAACGGGAUUAGAAACCCCAGUAGUCC